rnacentral:rRNA from 1 species
AGUGAACGCUGGCGGUAGGCCUAACACAUGCAAGUCGAACGGCAGCACCGUAAGAGCUUGCUCUUACGGGCGGCGAGUGGCGGACGGGUGAGGUAUACAUCGGAAUCUACUUUUUCGUGGCGGAUAACGUAGGGAAACUUCCGCUAAUAUCGCCUUCGACCUACGGGGGAAAGCAGGGGCUCUUCGGACCUUGCGCGAUCGCAUGAGCCGAUGUCGGAUUAGCUAGUUGGCGGGGUAAAGGCCCACCAAGGCGACGAUCCGUAGCUGGGCUGAGAGGGUGAACAGCCACACUGGGGCUGAGACGCGGUCCAGACACCUACGGGAGGCAGAAGUGGGGAAUAGAGGAAGAAGGGCGCAAGCCUGAUCCAGCCGUACCGCGUGGGUGAAGAAGGCCUUCGGGUUGUAAAGCGCUUUUGUUGGUAAAGAAAGGCAGCAGGAUAAUACCCCGCUGUUCUGACGGUACCCAAAGAAGAAGCACCGGCUAACUUCGUG